ACAUAGAGAAAUCAUUAUUGCACAUAUGUAGUGGUAAUGCUAAUUCAGGGCUUGAAGCAGUGAUUGUUCACCUGGUAGGAAGGUAGUCAGGUGCAAACGAGGCACCUGUGUGACUGGAGGAGGUGGAGCCAGGAUCUAUUCCUUUCAUUUAAAGGUUGGCAGCAGUGUAUCUUGUUUAGAGAUCCCUGUGUUCCUUGAGGACGUUAUAAGCUGGCCUAAGGACUGAGUGAGAAAAUGGCUGCGUGGGGUUUGGCAUCCUGUCAAUGUUAAACCACAGAAAUAGGUCACUUUUCUGCAUCAGUGAAGCUGAACUCUGCCUUCUAUGCAAUAUCAGACCUCAGUGGAAUGAAAUGGAUAGAAGCAAAGGAACUCUGCCAUCAAGAGAAAAGACAUGUCUUUAUAGAGACUUCUGAAGCAAAAAGGACUUUAUGACUUCACCUGAGCUUUGCACAGAACAAUACCACAAAUCAAUUUCUGUGUUCUCUCCAUCAGAGAUAGGCAGGGGGGUUCAUUGCAUUUAUAACUUGCUGCAACGUUUAUUGUGGGAAAGAAAAAGAAAAGAAAAAAAAAAAAGGAAAAUAAUACAUUUGUGACUAGAACAUGUGCAACAAUGGAUAUCUCAUCAUUUCUUUAAUGCAUUUUUCAGUACCUUUCAAAACAAA